GCCCAAAUCAUGUCUUAAAAGGGCAAUACAUCCCAGGGGCCAUAGUCACAUGGCUGGAGGCUGGCGAUCAGUCUUCUCCAAUGCCCAGUGGCGAGGUCGGUUUCGCUACAUUUCUCCCCUUUCCCAAAAAGACUAACAAGGUAUCUGACCUCCUGUCGGUCAGUGCCUUGGUUAGUCCAGCAACCCACCCACAAAACAUAGUCAGUAGUGCAG